rnacentral:rRNA from 1 species
AUAUCGCGAGGUGCCAGCAGCCGCGGUAAGACAGAGGGUGCAAACGUUGCUCGGAAUCACUGGGCGUAAAGGGCGUGUAGGCGGGUAGAUAAGUCGGGCGUGAAAUCCCUAGGCUCAACCUAGGAACUGCACUCGAAACUGUUUAUCUUGAGUGCCGGAGAGGAAAGCGGAAUUCCUGGUGUAGAGGUGAAAUUCGUAGAUAUCAGGAGGAACACCAGUGGCGAAGGCGGCUUUCUGGACGGUAACUGACGCUGAGACGACGAAAGCGUGGGGAGCAAAACAGGAUUAGAUACCCUGGUAGUCCACGCCGUAAAACGAUGAGUGCUAGGUGUCGUGGGUAUU